AGCGGCGGACGGGUGAGUAAUGCAUAGGAAACUGCCCAGUAGUGGGGGAUAGCCCGGGGAAACCCGGAUUAAUACCGCAUACGCCCUUCGGGGGAAAGCAGGGGAUCUUCGGACCUUGCGCUAUUGGAUGUGCCUAUGUCGGAUUAGCUAGUUGGUGGGGUAAGAGCCUACCAAGGCGACGAUCCGUAGCUGGUCUGAGAGGAUGAUCAGCCACAUCGGGACUGAGACACGGCCCGAACUCCUACGGGAGGCAGCAGUGGGGAAUAUUGGACAAUGGGGGCAACCCUGAUCCAGCCAUGCCGCGUGUGUGAAGAAGGCUUUCGGGUUGUAAAGCACUUUCAGUGAGGAGGAAAACCUUAAGUUUAAUACGCUUGAGGCUUGACGUUACUCACAGAAGAAGCACCGGCUAACUCCGUGCCAGCAGCCGCGGUAAUACGGAGGGUGCAAGCGUUAAUCGGAAUUACUGGGCGUAAAGCGCGCGUAGGUGGUUUGAUAAGCGAGAUGUGAAAGCCCCGGGCUCAACCUGGGAACGGCAUUUCGAACUGUCAGGCUAGAGUAUGGUAGAGGAGUGUGGAAUUUCCUGUGUAGCGGUGAAAUGCGUAGAUAUAGGAAGGACACCAGUGGCGAAGGCGGCACUCUGGAACACUACUGACACUGAGUGCGAAGCCGUUGAGAGCAAACAGAAUAGAUACCCUGGUAGCCAACGCCUG
rnacentral:rRNA from 1 species